rnacentral:rRNA from 1 species
UACAGAGGGGGCAAGCGUUGUUCGGAAUUACUGGGCGUAAAGGGCGCGUAGGCGGUCUUCUAAGUCUUGUGUGAAAUCCCUCGGCUCAACUGAGGAACUGCACGGGAUACUGGAAGACUUGAGUUCGGGAGAGGGAAGCGGAAUUCCGGGUGUAGCGGUGAAAUGCGUAGAUAUCCGGAGGAACACCAGUGGCGAAGGCGGCUCACUGGCCCGAUACUGACGCUGAGGCACGAAAGCGUGGGGAGCAAACAGG